rnacentral:rRNA from 1 species
UACAGGGGGUGCUAGCGUUGUUCGGAAUUACUGGGCGUAAAGGGCGCGUAGGCGGUUUUGUAAGUCAGGAGUGAAAUCCCAGAGCUUAACUCUGGAAUUGCUUUUGAAACUACAAGUCUAGAGUAUGUUAGAGGAUGUGGGAAUUCCUAGUGUAGAAGUGAAAUUCGUAGAUAUUAGGAAGAACACCGGUGGCGAAGGCGCACAUCUGGGACAUAACUGACGCUGAGGCGCGAAAGCGUGGGGACCAAACAGG